rnacentral:lncRNA from 1 species
UGAAUAUCUCAUUGAUUGAAAUCUCCAUUAUGACUUUUUAGUAUAUUUAAUAACAUGGGAACAACUAAGUGCCACUUAACUGAUUUUAUUUUAAAAGCAGUUUUUCACAUUUUUCAUAAUUUGUUUUCAACUUUAUAGGCACCAUUUGCUUUAUGUUCUAUAAAUUUUAAACACAUACUUAAAACUAUAACAUUAUUAAAAUAUGAAAAUAUUGAUAUGCAUUAGCUAAAGCUUAGCAUCCACUAGGAGGAGCUGAGUGCUUUAUCAAAUAUAUAUGAAAUUUAUGUCUAAAAACUUUUAAUAAAAUAUUAUCAGUAUGUUGAGAUUAAUACUGAUAAACACAAUAUUAAAUUGAGACAAAUUGAAUGUUAUGGUUUAUAAUAACUUGGAAGCUAAAAGUAAAGAAUAAAUUUUAUUGUAUGCUUUUAGCUAAUUAGAUUACUGAGUAGUUUGAAGUAACUAAAAUUCUACACGUUUGAUGUCUUUUAACAUCAAAGAUUCUUGUAAAUUUUUUGUAUAUUGUACAAAGUUAAACUGCAUUAUAACCAAUUUAAUACAAAGUAGAUCUAAAAGUAGGAUGUAGAAAAAUGCAGGGCAAGGAAUCUCUCCGAAUCUGUGAUUCUGAGUGCUGCCCAAUUUGUGAAUUGUUCAUUGUUCAGAUAAACUCCUUUAAAUUUAAUUAGAAGUUUUUCUUUUAACAGAUAGUGUCAGAAGGGUGGUCAAAGUAGAACUUUAAUGAUACUCCCGGAUAGCUGAGUGAACAAGCAAGGUACCUGCAAGGACCCACUUGUGUCCUUUGAUGUCUCACAGCAGUGGGUUUUGGGGUACCUAUAAUGAGCAGAGCAUGCAAGACAGUUGCGUAGGUACACACAUGGCAGUGUGCUUUGCUUUUCUUCUCCCCUUCACCCACAUUUGGCAUUUCUCCCCAGGCUAUCCCUCCCCACCUCCCCCUCCCACUGGCCCUCCCCUUUUCCCCCCAAUAGACCCCAGUGUUUAGUACUCCCCUUUCUGUGUCCAUGUGUUCUCAUUUUUCAUCACCCACCUAUGAGUGAGGAUAUGCGGUGUUUCAUUUUCUGUUCUUGUGUCAGUUUGCUGAGGAUGAUGUUUUCCAGAUUCAUCCAUGUCCCUACAAACAACACGAACUCAUCAUUUCUGAUUGCUGCAUAAUAUUCCAUGGUGUAUAUGUGCCACAUUUUUCCAAUCCAGUCUAUUAUCAAUGGGCAUUUGGGUUGAUUCCAGGUCUUUGCUAUUGUAAACAGUGCUGCAAUGAACAUUCGUGUACAUGUGUCCUUAUAGUAGAACGAUUUAUAGUCUUUUGGAUAUAUACCCAGUAUUGGGAUUGCUGGGUCAAAUGGAAUUUCUAUUUCUAAGGCCUUGAGGAAUCGCCACACUGUCUUCCACAAUGGUUGAACUAAUUUACACUCCCACCAACAGUGUAAAAGUGUUCCUUUUUCUC